rnacentral:lncRNA from 1 species
UAAAAUUGAGAUUGGAAAUGGGGAAUGUGCCAAAGAGACAACAACCCGACCAUAGAAAAAAAAACAACAGAAGGUCACCAACAGGUCUUCAAUGUAGCGAGAAAUUCCCGCACCCGGAGGCGUCCUUCAGCUGGCCCCUAAAUAAAUAUAUACUAGUUCAGUGAUAAUGAACGCCAUACUAAUUUCCAAAUUGUACACAAGAAACUAAAAUUAAAAUAACACAAGACUAACAAAGGCCAGAGGCUCCUGACUUGGGACAGGCGGAAAAAUGCGGCGGGGUUAAACAUGUUUGUGAGAUCUCAACCCUCCCCCUAUACCUCUAGCCAAUGUAGAAAAGUAAAC